ACAAGACAGCAGCAACACUGGAAGCAACUAACGUUAACAGACGACGGGAGAUCAGCUACUACAUAAGGCUUCUGUGUGAAGCCAAAGAGAAUCUGAAGAGAGAAUAUCGAACACCUCUGAUCAAGUUUCUUCCCACUCAUAAAUAAAACUCAUUCCAUAUGUAUAUACUGCAAAAGGCCUGCUUGACUUGCAGCACUGUUCAUCGGGAGAGAUUUGUGAAGUUGCAGAUUCUGAAGAGAUGGGCCAGCUAACCUCUGCCAGAUCCCAGGGAUGGUCUGGAACGUUCCACUGAUUGGGGAGGCCCUUAUCCACUCCAUUCCUCAAGCUCUCCAUGGAGCAGUGAACUUCAGCACCCUGACUCACAACAACCCCAUCCUGGUUGGAUUUUUGGACACCAGCUCCAUUCUCUUCUAGUGUGAAAUGAAGGGAGAAGUGCAGAACCGAGACAUGUUACGAUGUGGAUGGAGGGAAAACAUCAUGAGAAGUGAAAGAAGCCAGACACAACAGCUCAUGUAUUAUAUAAUCCCAUUUAUAGGAAAUGUCGAGAACAGAACCUCUGCCCAUGUUUUUUGGCUGCUGAAUGAAUCCCUCACCUCCACAAAGAUAAGGAGGUACUACACUGGAAGGGGUAGCACAGGCUCAGUUCAAACAUCUCACCAUUCUUCUUAAAAUGCUGCAUCCCUCAGCUGGAAUAGACUCGAAGACAAGGCACUUUGGUGAGGGAAUGAAUGAUUCACCAAUAAUGAGAAAAGAGAUUAAUAAAAGAUGGAAUUCUCGCCAUCUUGGUGGAAUUCUCCUGCAUCCCAUGCCAUUUUCUCUUGCCCAGCCUGAGCUCCCCCAGAGCCUGUCUGUUCGAUCGAUCCGCAGCAUCCACCGCAGUAUGAACGAUGCUCCACUUCAAUGUAAGAUUUGGUUUUCUUGUGGGCCCUUUAGCACAGGGCACGUAAAGACCAGCGAUAGGUUGGGCUUCAGCACUGUGUUCUGAGUCUUCAGUCUGACAUUCCUGUAUGGAGAAACACUAGCAAGUUCAAAAGCAAAUCAAACCUGAAUGCAAUAUUCAGAAGGCUCUCUAAGACUCUGCGCUGAGACCAAAAUGUUAAAUGCACAUGGAAACCCUCUUUGCUCUCCACAGUGGGCAUGUGCCAGGGGACAGGCUCCAGAAUGGCGUGACCUUUGUGGAUUCUCAUUUUCUGAGCCCUCUCACCAAACCUGGCCUCCAGGCUUGGAGGACUCAAGGGUGUCUGAUCUUUGACCCUGCCCCAAAUCCUCAAGUUUAUAAGGAUCAUUCCUUCAUAAGUGCAUAAACAAUAAAGUGACAAUGGUGUCAUUACUGCCUUUCUCUGAAAGAACCCUUUACCCUGGAUGGAUGAGGAACCAACUACCCCCAGGGAAAUGAAUACCAUAAAAAAGUUUGGAUUUGUGCUUGGGGAGAAUAUGAGCAGAAAGUGGAGGAGUCCUGCAUAAGGUACCUUGGGACAAACUAUGUGGGUGGCCAGAAGGCCAAUAGAAUGAAAGGGCAGGGAGGGAAGGACCAAAGAGAUGGUUGCAGAAACCUACAGUGUGUCACGUUUGUAAAAUGGUUUCACAGCUUCUAAAGUCAUUUCAGACGAUUUAUCUCUGUGGAUCCCCACAAGGUCACUUUGGAGGAGGAACGGCGGUUCUAGUUUUCUUCACUUCACAGAUGGGGAAACUGAGGCUUGGUGAGGUCUGGAGAUUUAUCCAGGGUCCAAUAGCUUAGUCAGGACCUAAUCUAGGAUUUCAAGCCAGUCUGCUGACCCCGGGUUGCAGUGAUCCUAGGACCACACGGCACAACCUCUGAAGUUGACUUUUUAAAUAUUGAGUCCCCUUAUACAUCUAACCUGUAUCCUGUAAAUAUAGUAAACAGCAGCUUUUAAAGCUGGUCACCAAGUGUGGGGACCCAAGGACCUGGGAGCCCACUUUCUGGUUCACUCUCUGGCUUCUCACCUGCCAAGUUCUCAAACAUGCUCAAAAUGUGAUUAGUUUUACUAAUCCUUUUGCUAAAUUGUGUCAUGGUAUCCAUAUGCCAGUGAGCACCCCAUGCCCAAAUCAGCCCCGGGAGAUUAUUCAAAUGGCUGCAGAGAGCUCCCGCCUGCUCCUCCUGCAGCCAUGUUGAACUAUUCAAAAUGAUAAUCGGGCAUGUGGCAGUAACUCAGACGGGACAGCUCUAUCAUUCACUAGAGGGCUGGGCACAGCCUCCAGGGUCCUUAUGUCUUUUGCUAGAGCCAGCGCCUCUCCCAGCGCUCUCUCUCAUCCUCCGCACAAUUUAUUUCUCCAGAGCGCCCUUCAUACACACCAGCACCGCUCACUUCACCCAGAGCGUCAAUCACCAGAUGCCAAGAGAAGGGGACGUGUCCUUGGGGGAGAUUUAAAGAGAGACCUGAAUCAAGGUUGGGGGUUGUGAGAGUAGCACGGGAUGGUGGAGAAGAUUGGGUUGGACUGGUCAGGACCCUGGUAGGCACAGGCAAAGGAAGGAGGGCAGGGUUGGGCAUGGGAAAGAGAAAACAGAGAGCUGGCUAUCAUGGUCCCUCUCCACUGCACCAAGCAGUGACCUGCUCUUGGCCUUGAAUUUCUAGAAACUUUAACUCAAGUCCUGCUGCUCAGGAGUAGGGACAGCUUCAGGCCACUUCCAGGAUUCCAAGUGCAUAGAAUUCUGAGAUGGCUCCUAAGAAGAAUAAUCAAAACUGACCAAUGUUGGUAAUGAAGGGACUCAAUUAAAAAUAUCCCCUUCCCCCACUUAAAAUCAGAACUGAGAGAGAGAGGCCCUGAAGUCUGACAGAUAAGAAGACACAGAACAAUGCGAUUAUCACCAGUGAAAGUGAGGCAGCGACUACAACUCAAAUAGGUGGGGUCAGCCCACUUUAUUUCCCUCCACCCUCGAUGGGAUUAUCCACCAGCCCCAGGCAGCUCUGGGUAUGGAGCUUGCUCCUGUAAACACAUGGAACAGAGACACAGAGAAUAGCUGCUUCCUGCAGGUAGGCUGGGUUGAGAGAGGUGAGAUGGGGGAACAGAUCUGAGAUAGGGAUUUAGGAUAAGGAGAGAAAAAUAGACUACCUUCAGGGAGACAUCUUUAAGCCACUGAAAUGCAGAAUCAAGCCACUGAGAUACUGAAAACACAGUGGCAAACCUUAGCCCAUGCCCUUGGCCCACGCCCUUGACCCAUGUCCUUAACCCAUGCUCUUGUAAAAUAAGGGAAAUGCACAAGCUGGGAAAACCUAGGCAAAAUUAUACAGCUCCACCCUGGAUCCACCUUCAGUCCAGCUCCUGACACAGCCCUUAUAUAAAUAUUGGACCCCAGCCCAAGUCGGGGCUGCUUCUCACUCUCGAGACAGCCUGCCUUCUCCCUUGAAUGUGCAUCUACCUUCCUAAAUAGACCUGUCUGGCUUGCACUGAAAUUUUUUUCUGCCAUAUAUGCCACAAAUCCUGCUGGUCUGAGUUGAG